CCUUGGGUUAUAAUGUCUGAGAUAUUUCCCAUAAACAUGAAAGGUUCAGCUGGAAGCCUUGUUACAUUGGUUAGCUGGUUAGGCUCUUGGAUUAUUUCCUUUGAAUUUAACUUCCUCAUGAAAUGGAGCUCAACAGCAACAUUCUUCAUUUUUGCUACCAUAUGUGGAUUAACUGUUCUAUUCGUAGCGAAGCUGGUGCCGGAGACAAAGGGACGGACGCUAGAAAAAAUACAA